GAUGAACGCUGGCGGCGUGCCUAAUACAUGCAAGUCGAGCGAACGGACGAGAAGCUUGCUUCUCUGAUGUUAGCGGCGGACGGGUGAGUAACACGUGGAUAACCUACCUAUAAGACUGGGAUAACUUCGGGAAACCUGAGCUAAUACCGGAUGAUAUUUUGAACCUCAUGGUUCAAAAGUGAAAGACGGUCUUGCUGUCACUUAUAGAUGGAUCCGCGCUGCAUUAGCUAGUUGGUAAGGUAACGGCUUACCAAGGCAACGAUGCAUAGCCGACCUGAGAGGGUGAUCGGCCACACUGGAACUGAGACACGGUCCAGACUCCUACGGGAGGCAGCAGUAGGGAAUAUUCCGCAAUGGGCGAAAGCCUGACGGAGCAACGCCGCGUGAGUGAUGAAGGUCUUCGGAUCGUAAAACUCUGUUAUUAGGGAAGAACAUAUGUGUAAGUAACUGUGCACAUCUUGACGGUACCUAAUCAGAAAGCAACGGCUAACUACGUG
rnacentral:rRNA from 1 species